CCUACGGGUGGCAGCAGUGGGGAAUAUUGCACAAUGGGGGAAACCCUGAUGCAGCGACGCCGCGUGAAGGAAGAAGGUCUUCGGAUCGUAAACUUCUAUCAGCAGGGAAGAAGAAAGUGACGGUACCUGAAUAAGAAGCCCCGGCUAACUACGUGCCAGCAGCCGCGGUAAUACGUAGGGGGCAAGCGUUAUCCGGAAUCACUGGGUGUAAAGGGUGCGUAGGCGGGAGGGCAAGUCAGAUGUGGAAGCCCGGAGCUCAACUCCGGGAUUGCAUUUGAAACUGUCUUACUAGCGUGCAGGAGAGGAAGGCGGAAUUCCUAGUGUAGCGGUGAAGUGCGUAGAUAUUAGGAAGAACACCAGUGGCGAAGGCGGCUUUAUGGACUGUAACUGACGCUGAGGCACGAAAGCGUGGGGAGCGAACAGGAUUAGAUACCCCAGUAGUC
rnacentral:rRNA from 1 species